GUCUAAGACAGAGGAGUUAAAUGUUAAGAUUGUGAUGAGUGCUCUGAAGGUAUUGAAGUGCAAUGGAAAGAGAAUAUUAAAGGGAGGGUCCUACUGGACCCAGGAAGGUCUGGCAAGGAGUUCACAUUUAAACUGAGAUUUGGAGGAGAAUCUGAAACAUGAGGUGAAACCAUUCCCAGGAUGGCAUUCCUGUGGAAGGGAGGCUUUUACUUUUCGUUUUGUGUCUUUCCAAAUGGAUUGAAAAUUCCUAAUCUUACCCAUUUGCCAGUGAAUUAUUAACAGAGAUUAUCAAGUUCCACUAGGAGUCUCAUCAUCUGGUUCUACUCGGACAACUAUUAUUCCUCUUGCUUAAAGCAUUAAUUGCGCGGAAACAGCAAGACCUACGUCACUUGAAAUUCUGUUGUGGGAGAUUUGAGAGCAGAGCCGUCGACAGUGACCAGGUAGCAAAAUUUGCAGUGUGCUCUCCAGCAAUUGGCAAAUGACUAUGAAUGAUUCCAUCCCUCAUCAUGAAUAGCUGACCCCUGGGGUUAUUUGGUUUGCAGUCUACAACCAGUCUGUUUAAAGAGCUGCCUGGUGUCGGAGAUGGAGUGGGUUCCUUCUGAACGAAAAAUUUGGUCAUGAGACCAAGGAACAGAGCCACCAAAACAGCUGGCGUUUUGUACCAGGAGAGAGGAGAGAGGAGAAGAGAUUGAGAGGAGUGACAAUAGAUGAACAGCCAGCAUGUGAAGGCCCAGCAUCCUCGUGUGAGAGGCCUGAUAAAAUAUGGACCGUGUAUUAUUGAGCCCAACCACAUAGUCUUUCUGAAACAGCAAAAGCAGUGUGCUCUAAUAUCGCAGAUUAGAAAAAGCAGUUUUCUCUUUUAUCAAGAUGAGAUGAUCCCAAAGCCUAACUAACAAAUUAUUGAGCAAAAAGUGUCCAGAUCCUGCAACCCAAGAUCCAUCUCUCUUUGGGCCCUCAUAAGUGGUCGUAAGUAUACAUUAUAUAUGUACAGGUGAUAAGCAGGGAGAAAAAUACCAGGUUGUUCCAAAAGUGGGAGCGAUUGUGUAGGGAGAGGAGGAAAUGCAUAGAAAA